rnacentral:rRNA from 1 species
GGCAGCACAGUAAGAGCUUGCUCUUAUGGGUGGCGAGUGGCGGACGGGUGAGGAAUACAUCGGAAUCUACUUUUUCGUGGGGGAUAACGUAGGGAAACUUACGCUAAUACCGCAUACGACCUUCGGGUGAAAGCAGGGGACCUUCGGGCCUUGCGCGGAUAGAUGAGCCGAUGUCGGAUUAGCUAGUUGGCGGGGUAAAGGCCCACCAAGGCGACGAUCCGUAGCUGGUCUGAGAGGAUGAUCAGCCACACUGGAACUGAGACACGGUCCAGACUCCUACGGGAGGCAGCAGUGGGGAAUAUUGGACAAUGGGCGCAAGCCUGAUCCAGCCAUACCGCGUGGGUGAAGAAGGCCUUCGGGUUGUAAAGCCCUUUUGUUGGGAAAGAAAAGCAGCGAGUUAAUACCCGGUUGUGCUGACGGUACCCAAAGAAUAAGCACCGGCUAACUUCGUGCCAGCAGCCGCGGUAAUACGAAGGGUGCAAGCGUUACUCGGAAUUACUGGGCGUAAAGCGUGCGUAGGUGCGUGUUUAAGUCUGUUGUGAAAGCCCUGGGCUCAACGAGGGAACUGCAGAGGAGACUGGACUGACUAGAGUGUGUAGAG